rnacentral:rRNA from 1 species
AUUGAACGCUGGCGGCAUGCCUUACACAUGCAAGUCGAACGGCAGCACGGGUGCUUGCACCUGGUGGCGAGUGGCGAACGGGUGAGUAAUACAUCGGAACGUACCUUAUCGUGGGGGAUAACGCAGCGAAAGCUGUGCUAAUACCGCAUACGCCCUGAGGGGGAAAGCGGGGGAUCGCAAGACCUCGCGCGAUUAGAGCGGCCGAUGCCUGAUUAGCUUGUUGGUGGGGUAAAAGCCCACCAAGGCGACGAUCAGUAGCUGGUCUGAGAGGACGAUCAGCCACACUGGGACUGAGACACGGCCCAGACUCCUACGGGAGGCAGCAGUGGGGAAUUUUGGACAAUGGGGGCAACCCCGAUCCAGCAAUGCCGCAUGAGUGAAGAAGGCCUUCGGGUUGUAAAGCUCUUUUGUCAGGGAAGAAACACCGGCUCUAACACAGUCUGGGAAUGACGGUACCUGAAGAGUAAGCACCGGCUAACUACGUGCCAGCAGCCGCCGUAA